rnacentral:rRNA from 1 species
CGUGUAGGCGGUCGGUUAAGUCUGAUGUGAAAGCCCGGGGCUUAACCUCGGAAGGGCGUUGGAAACUGGCCGACUUGAGUUCGGGAGAGGGAAGCGGAAUUCCGGGUGUAGAGGUGAAAUUCGUAGAUAUCCGGAGGAACACCGGUGGCGAAGGCGGCUUCCUGGACCGAAACUGACGCUGAGACGCGAAAGCGUGGGGAGCAAACAGGAUUAGAUACCCUGGUAGUCCACGCUGUAAACGAUGGGCACUAGGUGUGGGGGGUUUUUAAUCCCUCCGUGCCGCAGCUAACGCAUUAAGUGCCCCGCCUGGGGAGUACGGCCGCAAGGUUAAA